rnacentral:rRNA from 1 species
GACGAACGCUGGCGGCGUGCUUAACACAUGCAAGUCGAACGGAAAGGCCCUGCUUUUGCGGGGUGCUCGAGUGGCGAACGGGUGAGUAACACGUGAGUAACCUGCCCUUGACUUUGGGAUAACUUCAGGAAACUGGGGCUAAUACCGGAUAGGAGCUCCUGCUGCAUGGUGGGGGUUAGAAAGUUUCGGCGGUUGGGGAUGGACUCGCGGCUUAUCAGCUUGUUGGUGGGGUAGUGGCUUACCAAGGCUUUGACGGGUAGCCGGCCUGAGAGGGUGACCGGCCACAUUGGGACUGAGAUACGGCCCAGACUCCUACGGGAGGCAGCAGUGGGGAAUAUUGCACAAUGGGCGGAAGCCUGAUGCAGCAACGCCGCGUGCGGGAUGACGGCCUUCGGGUUGUAAACCGCUUUCGCCUGUGACGAAGCGUGAGUGACGGUAAUGGGUAAAGAAGCACCGGCUAACUACGU